rnacentral:rRNA from 1 species
ACGAACGCUGGCGGCGUGCUUAACACAUGCCAGUCGAACGGAAAGGCCCUGCUUUUGUGGGGUGCUCGAGUGGCGAACGGGUGAGUAACACGUGAGUAACCUGCCCUUGACUUUGGGAUAACUUCAGGAAACUGGGGCUAAUACCGGAUAGGAGCUCCUGCUGCAUGGUGGGGGUUGGAAAGUUUCGGCGGUUGGGGAUGGACUCGCGGCUUAUCAGCUUGUUGGUGGGGUAGUGGCUUACCAAGGCUUUGACGGGUAGCCGGCCUGAGAGGGUGACCGGCCACAUUGGGACUGAGAUACGGCCCAGACUCCUACGGGAGGCAGCAGUGGGGAAUAUUGCACAAUGGGCGGAAGCCUGAUGCAGCAACGCCGCGUGCGGGAUGACGGCCUUCGGGUGGUAAACCGCUUUCGCCUGUGACGAAGCGUGAGUGACGGUAAUGGGUAAAGAAACACCGGCUAACUACGU